rnacentral:rRNA from 1 species
GACAGAGGGUGCAAACGUUGUUCGGAAUUACUGGGCGUAAAGCGCGUGUAGGCGGCAAGGCAAGUCGGAUGUGGAAGCCCGCGGCUCAACCGUGGAAGUGCACUCGAAACUGCCUAGCUAGAGUCUCGGAGAGGAAGGUGGAAUGCUUGGUGUAGAGGUGAAAUUGUGAGAUAUCAAGCAGAACACCUGUGGCGAAGGCGGCCUCUGGACGAUGACUGACGCUGAGACGCGAAAGCGUGGGGAGCAAACAGG